rnacentral:rRNA from 1 species
CUCGUAGGCGGCCAACUAAGUCAGACGUGAAAUCCCUCGGCUUAACCGGGGAACUGCAUCUGAUACUGGAUGGCUUGAGAUUGGGAGAGGGAUGCGGAAUUCCAGGUGUAGCGGUGAAAUGCGUAGAUAUCUGGAGGAACACCGGUGGCGAAGGCGGCAUCCUGGACCAACACUGACGCUGAGGAGCGAAAGCCAGGGGAGCAAACG